CCCCUCUCAGGGUUGUACCUGGAGAGUUUCCAGGACUCUACCAGUCUUGGCUACGAGAGGGAGAGUCAAGCAGAGGCCUAUCCAUUCCAUUCCUAGCUUGGCCAGUGCCUAGCCAGUGGAAGGUAAUUUGCUACAAGU